rnacentral:piRNA from 1 species
GACUAGGGUGGUCUGGGACUUUAAGU